rnacentral:rRNA from 1 species
UGGGGAAUAUUGGGCAAUGGGCGCAAGCCUGAUCCAGCCAUACCGCGUGAGUGAAGAAGGCCUUCGGGUUGUAAAGCUCUUUCAGACGGAAAGAAACGGUUACGGCUAAUACCCGUGACUAAUGACGGUACCGUAAGAAGAAGCACCGGCUAACUACGUGCCAGCAGCCGCGGUAAUACGUAGGGUGCGAGCGUUAAUCGGAAUUACUGGGCGUAAAGCGUGCGCAGGCGGUUUGGUAAGACAGAUGUGAAAUCCCCGGGCUUAACCUGGGAACUGCAUUUGUGACUGCCAGACUAGAGUGUAGCAGAGGGGGGUAGAAUUCCACGUGUAGCAGUGAAAUGCGUAGAUAUGUGGAGGAAUACCGAUGGCGAAGGCAGCCCCCUGGGCUAACACUGACGCUCAUGCACGAAAGCGUGGGGAGCAAACAGGAUUAGAUACCCCCGUAGUCCCUGAGCGGGCUGGCAAGGCGCAU